AAACCAGCACCUCAAGUGGUCAGGAUGAUUAUUGGGCCUAAAGCAUCCGUAGCCUGUUCUGUAAGUUUCCGGUUAAAUCCAUUAGCUCAACUAAUGGGCCGCCGAAAAUACUGCACAGCUAGGGAGUGGGAGAGGUAGACGGUACUCGGUAGGAAGGGGUAAAAUCCUUUGAUCUAUUGAUGACCACCUGUGGCGAAGGCGGUCUACCAGAACACGUCCGACGGUGAGGGAUGAAAGCUGGGGGAGCAAACCGGAUUAGAAACCCCGGUAGUCC
rnacentral:rRNA from 1 species